CAAGACCGAGGAUAUUCUGGCAUAAGGGGCUUUGCCAUGACUUGCCUCACUGCAAAGAUAUAUGCAAUUGUUUUGGGACCAUUCUGGGGCAAUUCGGGGCGAAGUGAAUACUCCCAGAGCUUGGAAUAGAUGCUAGAACUAGUAUCUGCUGCAUGGAAUUGUCCGUCUGUUUAAACAACAGUGUUUCAAUUAUUUCAUUGGCACAUUGGUUAAAGUGUGCUUACCAGUCAACUGGCAAAGCCACCGGAAGAUCUGCCUUUCCAUUCUCCAUCGACCCAAUCCCCCUGAACCUUUAGCGAUGAAUACAAUCUUGAAAUAUAUGCUUUUAAUGUCUUAUGUUGUGCCAUUGACCUUGCCAGGUCUCCUUUUUAAUUGCUUGUAUUGAAACCUUUUCCGUUCCAGUCCUCUGGAUCACUGCAGCUAACCAAUAUAGUCAAACUAAUUCUACAUCUGCAGAAAAUAAUGCCCGAUGACUGAUCCUGUUUACGGAACGGAGUUAAAAAAACAGAAGGCAAUGAAGCUGGAAUAAGCUUGAGUAACCUGAAACACACCUAGAAUAUCAGAAAGCGGGUCUCGCAUGGAACAAGGUCUCGAAAUCGGCUUGGACAGCCUUAUGGAUAUGGGAAAUAGUCCCUACGAAUUUUUUGGUUUCGUCACUAAUCCCAAACACCACCCCAUGUUGAUGCUUACAUUAGCUUGACCUGGGCCUGCAUCUCCCUCUCGAGCAGCGAAUAUACUAGCAACCUCGACUCGCGCAAGUCAGAGCUGCGUUUCGCUUGCCGAAUGGACAUCAUGCCACCACGUGGAAAGAUAAAGGGAACUGUCGAUAAGACAUGAGCGUCUAAUAAACUCUCUGUUUAGCAUAACGAUAUCAAGUGCUGGGAGCAUACUAUGGUCCCGACACGCCUAAAGCUAUAACGUCGCCCUUUAUAGGCAAGCACAUCUGCUCGUCUGCAUCUGGACCACUUCUCCUGCGAGCCACUUCAACACUAGCAGACGAAGAUCACGGCGUUGAUUCACUGACUCUAUCUAGGAGCCUGCGAAGAGGGGUCCUUGCGUCGUGUAUUUUCCAAUACCGGAAUCCGGUUCGAUUUAUGGCAUUGGUUUAUUAUUGCAUGGACAUCCCUGGAAGGGAACCGAGCGCAGAAUAUACCAAGAAACUUACUUACAAUGUAACUGACAACCAACACAUGGGCAAACGCACGUCGCUUCACAUCUCACCGAUCUUCCAAGGUACCUGCAGUGUAUCCGCACGCCAUUAAGAACCCUGAAGUACCCCAGAAAUAUGGCGCCCCAUGCGCGGGAAAUGAAGCGUCCCGCAUGAUGUGUACAUUAGGGUGAAUGUGUCCAUUCUUUUGGGCGAUCAUGGGAAUUAUGAGAUCAUGCAUGUCUCCAGAAAAAGAAAAGAGCAUAACGGUGUCCAACGCCCUAGACACCAGGACACAGACUAAAAUGAUCGUGUCGUCAUUCCUCUAGUGAUUCUAUUUAAUCGUUGGCUUGAUGCUUCCGAAUUGUUUUCAUUUCAGGGUUUCUUACGUCCACAUAAUAUCCUCCACUAUUCUGCACUCUCUGCUUUAGAACCCCGUGCUAACUAGUGACCUGCAGAACAGGCAAACUGUUUCAGCAAAGGCCUUAUUUUAGAAAUACGGGCUCUUGCCCGAGUGGCCGACUUUCGGUUGAAUAUUAAAAAUCCUAUGUGGUCGCAAAUAUCAACUUCUAAAGCGCAGAAGUUAUUUACUUUUUGGACUGUCUACUUUCAGGUUAUCAUGAUUAUAGUUUUAAACACGGCAGGAGGCUGUAUAUGAAAAUGAGAUCACGGCUACUAGAAAAUUACUUCAGCAUGAAAUAUGCCAUGUACUAGAGUUAACUCGGGGGCUGUGGAAAAGAAUUAUAGCACUAUUAUAUGACAUUAAACUACAAAGCAC
rnacentral:sRNA from 1 species